AAUCCUUUAUCGAGGAUCUAGCGGAGGGCAAGUCUGGUGCCAGCAGCCGCGGUAAUUCCAGCUCCGCAGGUGUAUAUCUAUGCUGCUGCGGUUAAAAAGCUCGUAGUUGGAUCUGCGUGCUCGGAACUGGUUGGCUCACUGAGUUCAAACUGGUCUCCGGCGCUUUAUUUGCUGGUUUUCCCUUGAUGCUCUUAACCGGGUGUCUCGGGUGGCUAGCGUGUUUACUUUGAAAAAAUUAGAGUGCUCAAUACAGGCGCAAAGCCUUGAGUAGUGGUGCAUGGAAUAAUAGAAUAGGACCUCGGCUCUAUUUUGUUGGUUUUCGGAACACGAGGUAAUGAUUAAGAGGGACAGACGGGGGCAUUCGUAUUGCGACGUUAGAGGUGAAAUUCUUGGAUCGUCGCAAGACGGACGACUGCGAAAGCAUUUGCCAAGAAUGUUUUCAUUAAUCAAGAACGAAAGUUAGAGGUUCGAAGGCGAUCAGAUACCGCCCUAGUUCUAACCGUAAACGAUGCCAACUAGCGAUUCGCAGGCGUUAAACAACGACCUUGCGGGCAGCUUCCCGGAAACGAAAGUGUUCCGGUUCCGGGGGAAGUAUGGUUGCAAAGCUGAAACUUAAAGGAAUUGACGGAAGGGCACCACCAGGAGUGGAGCCUGCGGCUUAAUUCGACCCAACACGGGAAAACUCACCCGGCCCGGACACCGUAAGGAUUGACAGAUUGAGAGCUCUUUCUUGAUUCGGUGGGUGGUGGUGCAUGGCCGUUCUUAGUUGGUGGAGCGAUUUGUCUGGUUUAUUCCGAUAACGAACGAGACUCUGGCCUACUAAAUAGUGGGCGGAUUCUUUCUGUCCGCAACACUUCUUAGAGGGACAAGCGGUGUUCAGCCGCACGAGAUUGAGCAAUAACAGGUCUGUGAUGCCCUUAGAUGUCCGGGGCUGCACGCGCGCUACACUGAAGGAAUCAGCGUGCUUUCUGACCUUGCCCGUAAGGGCUGGGUAACCCGAUGAAAAUCCUUCGUGAUUGGGAUAGGGACUUGCAAUUAUUUCCCUUGAACGAGGAAUUCCCAGUAAGUGUGGGUCAUAAGCUCGCGUUGAUUACGUCCCUGCCCUUUGUACACACCGCCCGUCGCUGCCCGGGACUGAGCCGUUUCGAGAAGAACAGGGACCGUCGUUGAAGGGCCCUAACGGGCUUUUCUCUGAUAGAAACUGUUUU
rnacentral:rRNA from 1 species